rnacentral:rRNA from 1 species
AUACGUAGGGGGCGAGCGUUGUCCGGAAUGAUUGGGCGUAAAGGGCGCGUAGGCGGCCCGGUAAGUCUGGAGUGAAAGUCCUGUUUUUAAGAUGGGAAUUGCUUUGGAUACUGUCGGGCUUGAGUGCAGGAGAGGUAAGUGGAAUUCCCAGUGUAGCGGUGAAAUGCGCAGAGAUUGGGAGGAACACCAGUGGCGAAGGCGACUUACUGGACUGUAACUGACGCUGAGGCGCGAAAGUGUGGGGAGCAAACAGGAUUAGAUACCCUGGUAGUCCACACUGUAAACGAUGAAUGCUAGGUGUAGGGGGUAUCGACCCCUUCUGUGCCGCAGUCAACACAAUAAGCAUUCCGCCUGGGGAGUACGGCCGCAAGGUUGAAACUCAAAGGAAUUGACGGGG